CGGGGGGAGCAAGCGUUGUUCGGAUUUACUGGGCGUAAAGGGCGCGUAGGCGGCCACGACAAGUCACUUGUGAAAUCUCCGGGCUUAACCCGGAGCGGUCAAGUGAUACUGUCGGGCUAGAGUACAGAAGGGGGCAACUGGAAUUCUCGGUGUAGCGGUGAAAUGCGUAGAUAUCGAGAGGAACACCUGCGGCGAAGGCGGGUUGCUGGGCUGAUACUGACGCUGAUGCGCGAAAGCCAGGGGAGCGAACGGGAUUAGAUACCCCGGUAGUCCUAGCCCUAAACGAUGAGUACUAGGUUGUAGCCUUGACAUGGGGUUACAGCCGGAGCAAAAGUGCUAAGUACUCCGCCUGGGGAGUAUGGUCGCAAGGCUG
rnacentral:rRNA from 1 species